rnacentral:rRNA from 1 species
GCUCAGACGAAACGCUGGCGGCGUGGAUUAGGCAUGCAAGUCGAACGCGAAAGGGGGCUUCGGUCCCUGAGUAGAGUGGCGAACGGGUGAGUAACACGUGGGUAAUCUGCCCUCGAGCGGGGGAUAACGUCUCUAACGAGACGCUAAUACCGCAUAACAUCUCCAGGUCGCAUGGCCUGGCGAUCAAAGGUGGCCUCUACUUGUAAGCUGCCGUUUGAGGAGGAGCCCGCGGCCUAUUACCUAGUUGGUGAGGUAACGGCUCACCAAGGGGACGAUGGGUAGCCGGCCUGAGAGGGUGUCCGGCCACACUGGGACUGAGACACGGCCCAGACUCCUACGGGAGGCUGCAGUCGAGAGGCUUUGGCAAUGGGGGAAACCCUGACCAAGCGACGCCGCGUGGGCGAUGAAGGCCUUACGGUUGUAAAGCCCUGUCAUGGGGGAAGAAAAAGCGUUGGGUGAAUAGCCCAGUGCUCUGACGGUACCCCAGAAGGAAGCUCCGGCUAACUCCGUGCCAGCAGCCGCGGUAAUACGGGGGGAGCGAGCGUUGUUCGGAAUCACUGGGCGUAAAGGGCGCGUAGGCGGUUGGAUAAGUCAGAGGUGAAAUGCCAGGGCUUAACCUUGGAAUUGCCUUUGAUACUGUUCGACUAGAGGGCGGAAGAGGAUAGUGGAAUUCCUGGUGUAGCGGUGAAAUGCGUAGAUAUCAGGAAGAACACCGGUGGCGAAGGCGGCUAUCUGGUCCGCUACUGACGCUGAGGCGCGAAAGCCAGGGGAGCAAACGGGAUUAGAUACCCCGGUAGUCCUGGCCGUAAACGAUGGGCACUGGGUGUAGGAGGUAUCGACCCCUCCUGUGCCGAAGCUAACGCAUUAAGUGCCCCGCCUGGGGAAGUACGGUCCCAAGGCUGAAACU